GAUGAGUACUAGGUGUCGGGGGUUACCCCCCUCGGUGCCGCAGCUAACGCAUUAAGUACUCCGCCUGGGGAGUACGCACGCAAGUGUGAAACUCAAAGGAAUUGACGGGGACCCGCACAAGUAGCGGAGCAUGUGGUUUAAUUCGAAGCAACGCGAAGAACCUUACCUAAGCUUGACAUCCCUCGGACAGGUGUUUAAUCACACCCUUCCUUCGGGACUGAGGUGACAGGUGGUGCAUGGCUGUCGUCAG
rnacentral:rRNA from 1 species